rnacentral:rRNA from 1 species
AGAGUUUGAUCAUGGCUCAGAUUGAACGCUGGCGGCAGGCCUAACACAUGCAAGUCGAACGGUAACAGGAAGCAGCUUGCUGUUUCGCUGACGAGUGGCGGACGGGUGAGUAAUGUCUGGGAAACUGCCUGAUGGAGGGGGAUAACUACUGGAAACGGUAGCUAAUACCGCAUAAUGUCGCAAGACCAAAGAGGGGGACCUUCGGGCCUCUUGCCAUCGGAUGUGCCCAGAUGGGAUUAGCUUGUUGGUGGGGUAACGGCUCACCAAGGCGACGAUCCCUAGCUGGUCUGAGAGGAUGACCAGCCACACUGGAACUGAGACACGGUCCAGACUCCUACGGGAGGCAGCAGUGGGGAAUAUUGCACAAUGGGCGCAAGCCUGAUGCAGCCAUGCCGCGUGUAUGAAGAAGGCCUUCGGGUUGUAAAGUACUUUCAGCGGGGAGGAAGGGAGUAAAGUUAAUACCUUUGCUCAUUGACGUUAUCCGCAGAAGAAGCACCGGCUAACUCCGUGCCAGCAGCCGCGGUAAUACGGAGGGUGCAAGCGUUAAUCGGAAUUACUGGGCGUAAAGCGCACGCAGGCGGUUUGUUAAGUCAGAUGUGAAAUCCCCGGGCUCAACCUGGGAACUGCAUCUGAUACUGGCAAGCUUGAGUCUCGUAGAGGGGGGUAGAAUUCCAGGUGUAGCGGUGAAAUGCGUAGAGAUCUGGAGGAAUACCGGUGGCGAAGGCGGCCCCCUGGACGAAGACUGACGCUCAGGUGCGAAAGCGUGGGGAGCAAACAGGAUUAGAUACCCUGGUAGUCCACGCCGUAAACGAUGUCGACUUGGAGGUUGUGCCCUUGAGGCAUGGCUUCCGGAGCUAACGCGUUAAGUCGACCGCCUGGGGAGUACGGCCGCAAGGUUAAAACUCAAAUGAAUUGACGGGGGCCCGCACAAGCGGUGGAGCAUGUGGUUUAAUUCGAUGCAACGCGAAGAACCUUACCUGGUCUUGACAUCCACGGAAGUUUUCAGAGAUGAGAAUGUGCCUUCGGGAACCGUGAGACAGGUGCUGCAUGGCUGUCGUCAGCUCGUGUUGUGAAAUGUUGGGUUAAGUCCCGCAACGAGCGCAACCCUUAUCCUUUGUUGCCAGCGGUCCGGCCGGGAACUCAAAGGAGACUGCCAGUGAUAAACUGGAGGAAGGUGGGGAUGACGUCAAGUCAUCAUGGCCCUUACGACCAGGGCUACACACGUGCUACAAUGGCGCAUACAAAGAGAAGCGACCUCGCGAGAGCAAGCGGACCUCAUAAAGUGCGUCGUAGUCCGGAUUGGAGUCUGCAACUCGACUCCAUGAAGUCGGAAUCGCUAGUAAUCGUGGAUCAGAAUGCCACGGUGAAUACGUUCCCGGGCCUUGUACACACCGCCCGUCACACCAUGGGAGUGGGUUGCAAAAGAAGUAGGUAGCUUAACCUUCGGGAGGGCGCUUACCACUUUGUGAUUCAUGACUGGGGUGAAGUCGUAACAAGGUAACCGUAGGGGAACCUGCGGUUG